CUGACGGGCCGCGGGCGCCAUUGAGGCCUUUCCCGGCGCGGCCGGGCCGGACCUGGAGCUCAGGGAUCCCAUGGAUGAACUCAGGGAUUCCAUGGAUGAUCCCGGGUAUAACACGGGUUUUGAAACACCAAGCGACUUAAAAUGAGGAAAUCGCCAGGUUCCUGAUGAUAUCUUCAAUAAGCCAGUUUGUGAGAGAAAGAAUUACUAUAAAGAAAUAUUACAUACUGCUA